AUAAUUAAUAUCUGCUCCUUCCUGUGCUAGGAAACACGCAAUCGCUGCACCAACAUUCAGCUCUAUAUUUCCAAGAAAGCCUGAAGCCUGGAGCUAAGAGAGGGGGAGAAAGUCUCUGUUAAGGCACUUGGAAACCUGGCUAUGGGUCAGACCCCAAAAAACCAGCCUCAAUUCUCAUGCUUGCAAUUGGCAGGUGCAAAGAGCUGCAGCUAUAAUUUUGCACCCCUUAGAUGUCUAAGUAUCUGAUUGUGUUCACAAAUAAGUCACAUACUUAUUUUUACUACAGUAGUGCCUAGAGGCAUCAGCCAAGAUCGGGCCCCAUUAUGCCAGGUGCUGCACAUUCUUGUAUUAAGAGACAGUGAUCUAAAUAGAUGAGACAGACAAAAGGUACAAGAAGGGAAGGAUUAUCUUCCUCACAUUACAGGUGGGGACCUGAGGCAUAGAGAGAUUGUGUGACUCAACCAAGGUCACACAAGGAGACUGAGAAAUGAACCCUGAUCAUCUUAGUCUCAGUCCAGUGUGUUAAUCACAAGGCCUUCCAUCUUCUCAUAGUUAGCCUGCCAACAACUUACAUGUACAAUUUUUCAGACAUAAAACUAGUGACUCAUUUAGUGCCAGGCUGAAGAGCAGGGUCUAACUGUUGGUAUUUGCAAUUUCCGUCACAGUAAAUGAGGAGGCGGCAGCAGAGAAUAUGCGCAUUACAAGGAGAAAACCACAACAGAUGGCUCAUUAGUUUGGCAAUAGCUUAUAAAAACUGACACACAGCAAGGCACCUAAGCUCUGCACUACUCUAAUGAGACCUGAGGGUAACGGAAGGAAGCAGCCUGGUCAAAUCCAUCCAUGUCAAGAGGAGGGUUAAGUAUAGGGGGGACAGUAUUGUGGGACUGAGACUCAGGACACCAGGGUUGUAUUCCUGACUCUGCCACCAGGUCACUUUUCAUCUUGGGAAAAUCCCUUCCCCCACUGGGCCUCAGUUUCCCCACAUGUGAAAUGAUGAUAAUAGCUGAUGCAGAGAAGGCUCAGUUUGUUAGAUUUGUGAAGAUGCUGGCUGUUUUUUUAAGAAAUGAAACAUGAAGUGCCAAUUUCACACACAUCCCCGACAGCCACUCUAUUUUACAACUCUACCAACAUGACCCAACUUUGCUUUGCCUUUCUACGCUGUGCUUAAGUCCAAGUGCUAAAUUCAGAGCAUGUUGAAGUGGCACCGGAUUAGGCUGGCAGGCUGUCAGUUUGUAGGUUUGCUGCAGAUAAGUCCAAUGAUACAAGUCUGAUCUGCUAGAUCAAGAGGCUUGAAAUAU